rnacentral:rRNA from 1 species
GACGAACGCUGGCGGCGUGCUUAACACAUGCAAGUCGAGCGGUAAGGCCCUUUCGGGGGUACACGAGCGGCGAACGGGUGAGUAACACGUGGGUGACCUGCCUCUAGCUCUGGGAUAAGCCCGGGAAACUGGGUCUAAUACUGGAUAUGACUCCAUGACGCAUGUUGUGGGGUGAAAGCCUUGUGCGGCUAGAGAUGGGCCCGCGGCCUAUCAGCUUGUUGGUGGGGUGAUGGCCUACCAAGGCGACGACGGUAGCCGGCCUGAGAGGCGACCGGCCACACUGGGACUGAGACACGGCCCAGACUCCUACGGGAGGCAGCAGUGGGGAAUCUUGCGCAAUGGGCGAAAGCCUGACGCAGCGACGCCGCGUGA